GGUCAGUCCUCCGGGAAAUCUGACGGCUUAACCGUUAGGCUUUCGGGGGAUACUGCCAGACUUGGAACCGGGAGAGGUAAGAGGUACUACAGGGGUAGGAGUGAAAUCUUGUAAUCCCUGUGGGACCACCUGUGGCGAAGGCGUCUUACCAGAACGGGUUCGACGGUGAGGGACGAAAGCUGGGGGCACGAACCGGAUUAGAUACCCGGGUAGUCCCAGCUGUAAACGAUGCUCGCUAGGUGUCAGGCAUGGCGCGACUGUGUCUGGUGCCGCAGGGAAGCCGUGAAGCGAGCCACCUGGGAAGUACGGCCGCAAGGCUGAAACUUAAAGGAAUUGGCGGGGGAGCACAA
rnacentral:rRNA from 1 species